rnacentral:sRNA from 1 species
UUGUAGCCCGGAUCGCAAUGGAAAUCCUUUUUUUUGCCGGGGCUGAGGUGCGGAAAAAAAAGAUUGCAAUGAAGAGCCGGUCACACU